rnacentral:snRNA from 1 species
UGGGGAAGAAUCGCGACCUU